UAAAAGUGCCACUUUUAUCAGAAUGAGAAGCAAUAUUCACUAUUAUAGACUACAUAUAGAAAUGAUGAAUUGCAUUAUAAAUAAGGAACCUAACAUUAUAACACCAGGGUUAUCAGUACAUUAUUAAAAAUGAUAAAGUAUCAACUUAUCUAUAAAUAAGAUUUAAAAAAGGAUACAAGCACUAUCAAGAGCUGUUCUACUUAAACAAUCUGUUUUCUUGUAGUGUUCAGCAAACAUCAGUGAAUUUCUGUGGGUGGCAGUUUUUCUGUAUGGAGGAAUUUGAUGACACUACAGCUUGCACUACUUCCAGAAAAAGUGAUCUUUCCUGAUCACUCAGAGAGGAGGUACGUUGAUAUUUCCAUUGCUCUGACUUGUCUCUCUCUCUUUUCAGUUACCCCUGCCUUCCACAGCCUUCUUGGUAACCUUUCAAUUACUAUGACAAUUGUAAACAAACAACUUGAAACAAAUGGUCAAAUCAACAAGACCAGGUCUCUGCCAUCCAUGAAGUCCUACGCUCUCUCCCACAGAGAUUUUUGCUAUGGAAGGAAUACACACCAGUAAUAAAGAUCAACAGGAUUACAGCUGCUUAAUUGGGCAUCCACUAAUAAAA
ensembl:lncRNA